AUUGAACGCUGGCGGCAUGCCUUACACAUGCAAGUCGAACGGUAACGCGGGGCAACCUGGCGACGAGUGGCGAACGGGUGAGUAAUGUAUCGGAACGUGCCCAGUUGUGGGGGAUAACUGCUCGAAAGAGCAGCUAAUACCGCAUACGACCUGAGGGUGAAAGCGGGGGAUCGCAAGACCCCGCGCAAUUGGAGCGGCCGAUAUCAGAUUAGGUAGUUGGUGGGGUAAAGGCCCACCAAGCCAACGAUCUGUAGCUGGUCUGAGAGGACGACCAGCCACACUGGGACUGAGACACGGCCCAGACUCCUACGGGAGGCAGCAGUGGGGAGUUUUGGACAAUGGACGCAAGUCUGAUCCAGCCAUGCCGCGUGCGGGAAGAAGGCCUUCGGGUUGUAAACCGCUUUUGUCAGGGAAGAAAAGGGCGACUCUAAUACAGUUGCCUCAUGACGGUACCUGAAGAAUAAGCACCGGCUAACUACGUGCCAGCAGCCGCAGUAAGAC
rnacentral:rRNA from 1 species